AUGAAGAACGCAGCGAAAUGCGAUAAGUAAUGUGAAUUGCAGAAUUCAGUGAAUCAUCGAAUCUUUGAACGCACAUUGCGCCCGCCAGUAUUCUGGCGGGCAUGCCUGUUCGAGCGUCAUUUCAACCAUCAAGCCCCCGGCUUGUGUUGGGGACCUGCGGCUGCCGCAGGCCCUGAAAACCAGUGGCGGGCUCGCUAGUCACUCCGAGCGUAGUAAUACAUCUCGCUCAGGGCGUGCUGCGGGUUCCGGCCGUUAAAAAGCCUUAUUUACCCAAGGUUGACCUCGGAUCAGGUAGGAAGACCCGCUGAACUUAAGCAUAUCAAUAAGCGGAGGA
rnacentral:misc_RNA from 1 species